CUUGGUCAUUUAGAGGAAGUAAAAG
rnacentral:rRNA from 2 species